rnacentral:misc_RNA from 1 species
CUAUGAUUCUGAUAACAAGAGACUCUUAUACCAACUACAGAAGUCAUAUCAUGGUGAUCCUAUUCUGAAUCCACUUACACCUUGGGAGAGACCACCUAUUAAAAAUGUUUUUUGCAUCUAUGGAGUUGAUUUGAAGACUGAGGUUGGUUACUAUUUUGCGCCAAGUGGCAAGCCUUACCCUGAUAAUUGGAUCAUAACAGAUAUCAUUUACGAGCUUGAAGGAUCUUUGGUCUCAAGGUCAGGGAAUCUGGUUGAGGGGAAUCCUGGAGCCGCAAGUGGGGAUGAAACAGUACCUUAUAAUUCUCUCUCUUUGUGCAAGAACUGGCUUGGACCAAAAGUUAACAUAACAAGAGCUCCUCAGUCAGAGCAUGACGGGUCUGACGUACAGGUGGAACUGAAUGUUGAACAUCAGCAUGAAGCAGAUGUAGUUCCCAACAUGACAAGGUCUCCAAGGGUAAAAUACAUUACAUAUUAUGAAGAUUCUGAAAGCAUUCCAGGAAAGAGGACAGCAGUUUGGGAGCUUGAUAAAGCAAAUCACAGGAACAUUGUUAGAUCCCCUGUUCUAAUGCGAGAGUUGUGGCUUCAGAUGUGGCAUGAUAUCCAUCCUGACAAAAAAUCAGAAUUUGUUACUGUCACAAAAGCUAAGCGUGGACCUUUGAGGGAUGAUGACUGCUAUUGGGACUAUGGGAAGGCUCGGUGUGCAUGGCCUGAAUACUGUGAAUAUAGGUAUCUUUUCGGAGAUGUUCAUCUAGGACAGAGUUGUAGGUUGAAGAAUUCUUCAGCUGACACGCUGUUGCAUUACGUUUAGAUUAGAAGUUGCUGGCAUUGGGCAUUAUUCCAUUCAUUACAAGUUCUAGCCCUGCAAUUGCUCUCUCUUGGAAGCUGGAAUCAAGCUGUUUGAUCAUUUCUUAAUGCAUCACGCAUAAUGAGACACAGAAUGGCUGGUGGUCUUUGUCCCUGUUGAAAUUCUAACUUGGCAUCUCGGCUUCCUCCUUUUUGCUACUUGCAACACAUCUGCUUUCAUCAGCCAAAUGCUUGCCUUCUGCACUAACUUCUGAAACUCUGGCAUAGCUUAUCUUUUCUGGUAGCUACUUUUGAGCUUGAACCAUUACAGCACCAAAAGUAGAUUCUUGACUUCAUGUAUUUGCACUGGCAUGGCUCAGUUGAGCAGAUGCAACUAAGGAGCGUAUUUUCAAGUAGAAUACGAGUGGUCCUGGCCAGAGAGUCUUAACAUCGAGCAAGGAUGGGACACUAAUACUGUUGGUGCAACAUACAGUUGAUGAAGUGGUAAAUCGAAGAAGAUACAGAUGGAUAGCAUGGCCUUUAUUAUAAUUUGAAGUUUAUUUACUGAAUAGUUAAAUCCAUUUUUUGUCCAAUUGCCCUCAAAAUGCCUAGCAAAAAGGAUAAUAAACAUACAACAAGAUUUGUUCUGUAACAAUUCAAAUGUUACGCG